UCCCUCCAUCCAACCGUCGGCGCUCGCAGGGCGUUGAGAGUGCUUCACACAAACGGAGAGAAAUGGUUGAUAUUAGUAUAGUCAUGGUUAAUAUAAACCUUAAAUACCUUUUUAAAGAUUAGAAGCUGAGCUGGGAACGGGGCAAUCAGGCAGCCUCGAGGGGGGACUGCAGGGAGCAGGGGAGAGGCUUAGAGAGUUCUGAAUGCCACACGCGAGGCACUUUUCUCAGGGGGCUCUUAAGCCCUAACACCUUUAUAAUUUCCCCUUAAGAUGCUAAUGAUCUAUUAAUCACUGUUUCUGGCUGACUUCCCUUUACACCAGUGCCUUCAGAAGCUCCCCUACCGAGUGGGCCUGUCUUAGGGAGGAAUUACUUCCUACAGCUAAUCCAGAGUUCCCGCCCCCUGCAACAAAACCCACAGCAGCUUCUCCUCCGGUAAAGCCGGGAUCUGAGCAGACAGUCACUCCUGUGGGCAGCGCUGGCUGGAAAGGACACUGGAGCAGGCCGCGCCUGGGCCUUGGAGACACGCACAGGACCCUGGAGGAGGCCACACCUGGGCCUCGGGAACGCGCACAGGACCCCGGAGGAGGCCACACCUGGGCCUCGGGAACAGGCACCAGCAGAGGCAGGACUGGAAAGGACAGGAGAGGCUGGGCCCACAUUUAAUCUCUGUUCCCUCUCCCUCCACAGUGGUGCCUUUAUUUCUAGAAGCAACGAAGGAAACACAGUAGACUCAGAGCCAGAAGAGGAAGAGGAGGCCAGCUCCCACUGCUGCAGCACUCAGCUGGGGUCAGCGGGGCUGUGGCGUUGCACCACUCCAUGAAGGGCCUGGUGUCCCUUGACUUGGACACCCUCGACCCUGCCAGGCUCGGCCCCACAGCCUUGCUCAAUCCCCUCAGCACCCUCGUCUCCAGCAGACGGGUAUCCUGGACAUGUCUCACCUGAUUUGACACAAGACCACCAAGACAAGGGGCAGGUGGGUGCAGUGGCUCACAUCUAUAAUCCCAGCACUUUGGGAGGCUGAAGCAGGAAGAUUGCUUGAGCCCAGGGGUUGGAGAUCACCCUGGGCAACAUGGUAAAACCCGUCUCUACAAAAAAUACAAAAAUUAGCCAGGUGUGGUGGUGCAUGCCUGUGGUCUCAGCUACUCAGGAGGCUGAGGUGGGAGGACCGCUGGAGCCAGGGAAGUCGAGGCUGCAGUGAGCUGUGUUUGCUCCACUGCACUCCAGCCAGGGAGAUAAAGCAAGACCCUGUUUCAAAAAAAAAAAAAAAAAAGUAAAGAAGGCCAGGCACAGUGGCUCACACCGGUAAUCCCAACACUUUGGGCGGCUGAGACAGGCAGACCCCUUGAGUUCAGGAGUUAGAGACAAGCCUGGCCAACAUGGUGAAACCCCAUCUCUACUAAAAAUACAAAAAUUAGCCAGGCGUGUUGGCUCAUGCCUGUAGUUCCAGCUACUCGAGAGGCUUAGACAGAAGAAUCGCUUGAACCCGGAAGGCAGAGGUUGUAGUGUGCAGAGACUGAGCCAUUGCACUCCAGGCUGGGCAACAGAGUGAGACUGUCUCAAAAAAAAAAAAAAAAAAAUAGAAAAGGGGCAGCUUCCUCUGAAGCCAGCUCUGCAGACUGGCAGCUGCCUGACACCUCAGCCGGGCCAUUUCCUGAACGGCUAGGCAGGGGCACGUUGGGCUUUAACUGCCCUCAGCCCCACCCCAACCAGGGCUCGCUGCACCAGAAGCUUCCUAGAAAACCACAUCUUUUCUGCUAAGAAUCAGAAAAGUCGUGAUAUUCUCAGACAUCAGCCAACUACAGACUGGCCUGCAGAAGGAAGGAAAGUAGAAGGAGGAAGUCAAGUGAUGCUGGGGCAAGGCAGCGUGGCCGGGCACCGCGGUCGGAACUCUCGUGCUGGUUUGCAGCUCAGAAGCGGUCCGCAGCCCCUGCCGUCCAGCCCUAACCCUGACCUCUUUAGGCCUCAGUUUCCCCACCUAGACAAGGAUGAUGGUCCAUGAGUCUGCUAUUUUUCAUUGAGCAACCUUGUACUCAGUGCCUGUUCGGAAUGAGAAUAGCAAUGUCUACAGUUCCAAUGCUUUCGCCACACCUUACUCAUGUCUUGUAUUUAAAUCCGGUCUGAUGAUUUACAUAAUGCUUCACCCACGAGAAUUCCUUCAGCAGGGAAUGAGGGUGUCAUGGAGACGCCGCCUCGGGCCUCGGUAACCACUAGGGAAGAAACGCCAGGGACACCUGGUCCUGACUUGGGAUCUGGUGCUCCAGGCUCUAGCUCUGUCCAUAGCCCAAGGGUGCUGAGCCCCAAGUGGUCACACCUGCAAUGUCACUGAGCUUGGGUAGUGGUCCAUCCAGGGCCAGCCAGCCCAACGUAGCAGGGGCCCGCCUUCCCCAGGGACACCGUGUGGCCCAGGAGCCACAGCAGAGGAAGCUGAGCAGGGCGGCAGAGGAAGCUGAGCAGGGUGGCAGCUCCCUGGGAGGCCACACCUGUACCCCAGGGGUUCUUGGACAAUUGGGGGCAGGGCUCAAGAGGGAGAUCAGAUAUCCCCCUAACAAAGAGAGUGGGGGCUGGAGCGGUGAAUUUGGACACUGAAAGAGGAGUGACUGUAUUUGUACCCUGAGUGUGUGCGCCAGUCCUUGAGGGCAUUACAUUUUACAUUACGUUUGUAAUCAGAAAAGUAGACUUUCAAAAGAAGACAUCAUCUAAGUUACUUGUUAGGAGUGGCAGAUUCAUCUCCCCGGAGCUGGUGACAGUAGGGAGGCAUUUGAAAAGGUGCCUGGACAGCACAGGCCUUGAGGGAGGACAGGUCCUCCAUGCCCAGAAUGCAACUGGCUGGCUAAGGUGCCUUCGAGGUUCCCCAGGCUGCCUGUGUAGAGAAAGCAGCAGCUGGCCCAGCAGCCCAGCUGCAAAGGGCCCUCACCAUGCACCAGUUAGUUACUCAUUCAUUCAUUUAGAUGAGGUCUCGCUCUGUCAUCCAGGCUCAAUCAUAGCUGGGUGGGGCAAUCAUAGCUCACUGCAGCCUCAACUUCCUGGCCUCAAUUGAUCCUCCCAUCUCAGCCUCCUGCCUCUGUGCACCUGUCCCGAGGCCCCAACCUGCAGUCCUGAGACUACAGAUGCAUCUGGCCCCCGGACCUGCACUGUGUGGAUGUGGCUUCUGUCAGUUCACUGCCUCAGGAGCAAGAGUAGGAAUGGGAGGUCCUCCCAAGAUGGAAGUUCACUGUUCUGUGAAACAUGAACCCCCCGGACCUCCGUCGCCAGAGUGGUCCAGCAGGGUGCACAGGGGCUCCGGCCCCAAGCCGGCCUGCUUCUGAUGGAGGGGUUUACACCGGAGCGAGGAGCUGCCCACCCGAGUCUCAGGCUCCUCAUUCAUCAACUGUGGAUGUUGUUAGUUUAAGAAUAUAAAGUGCUGCCGGGCACGGUGGCACCUACAGUCCCAGCUACUUGCGACGCUGGGGCAGGAAGAUCACUGGAGCCCAGGUGUUCAAGUCCAGCCUAUGAGACAGAGUGAGACCCCAUCUGAUUGACUGAUUGAUUGGUUAAUUGAUUAAUUGAUUGGUUGAGACAGGAUCUCACUCUGUUACCCAGCCUGAAGUGCAGUGGUGCGAUCUCAGCUCACUGCACCCUUGGCCUCCUGGAUUCAAACAAUUCUCUCACCCUGCCUCCUGAGUAGCUGGGACUACAGGUGCCUGCCACCACACCAAGCUAAUUUUUUUAUUUUUUGUAGAGACAGGGUUUCCCUAUGUUGCCAUGGCUGGUCUCGGACUGCUGGGCUUAAGUGAUCCUCCCAUCUCAGCCUCCCAAAGUUCUGGGAUUACAGGCAUGAGCCACCGUAGUGAGGGUAGCAGUGGUGGUAGUAACAGUAGGUAGUGAUGGUAGUGAUGUUAGUGAUGGUAGGUAGUAAUGAUAGUGAUGGUAGGUAGUGAUGGUAGGUAAUGAUGGUAGUGAUAGUAGGUAGUGAUGGUAGUGAUGGUAGGUAGGGAUGGUAGUGAUAGUAGGUAGGGAUGGUAGUGAUAGUAGGGAUGGUAGUGAUGGUAGGUAGUGAUGGUAGUGAUGGUAGGUAGUGAUGGGUAGUGAUAGUAGGUAGGGAUGGUAGUGAUAGUAGUGAUGGUAGGUAGUGAUGAUGGUAGUGAUGGUAGGUAGGGAUGGUAGUGAUAGUAGUGAUGGUAGGUAGUGAUGAUGGUAGUGAUGGUAGGUAGUCAUGGUAGUGUUGGUAGGUAGUGAUGGUAGUGAUGGUAGGUAGGGAUGGUAGUGAUGGUACGUAGUGAUGGUAGGUAGGGAUGGUAGUGAUGGUAGGUAGGGAUGGUAGUGAUGGUAGUGAUGGUAGGUAGGGAUGGUAGUGAUGGUAGGUAGUGAUGAUGGUAGUGAUGGUAGGUAGGGAUGGUAGUGAUGGUAGGUGGGGAUGGUAGUGAUGGUAGGUGGGGAUGGUAGUGAUGGUAGUGAUGGUAGGUAGUGAUGAUGGUAGCAAUGGUAGGUAGGGAUGGUAGUGAUGAUGGUAGCAAUGGUAGGUAGGGAUGGUAGUGAUGGUAGGUGGGGAUGGUAGUGAUGGUAGGUGGGGAUGGUAGUGAUGGUAGGUGGGGAUGGUAGUGAUGGUAGGUGGGGAUGGUAGUGAUGGUAGGUAGUGAUGAUGGUAGCGAUGGUAGGUAGGGAUGGUAGGGAUGGUAGUGAUGGUAGGUAGUGAUGAUGGUAGUGAUGGUAGGUAGUGAUGGUAGUGAUGGUAGGUAGUGAUGGUAGUGAUGGUAGGUAGGGAUGGUAGUGAUGGUAGGUAGUGAUGAUGGUAGCGAUGGUAGGGAUGGUAGUGAUAGUAGUGAGGGUAGGUAGUGAUGAUGGUAGUGAUGGUAGGUAGGGAUGAUGGUAGCGAUGGUAGGUAGUGAUGGUUGUGAUAGUAGUGAUGGUAGGUAGUGAUGGGUAGUGAUGGUAGGUAGUGAUAGUAAGUAGCGGUGGUAGCAUGGGGAUGCUGCCGUGAAGCAGAGGAGGCUUCACAAUUCUGAUUGUGAAGGCUUCAGAACUCUGAUCUUCUCAAUUCAGGUGGAAACGUGUCUUUAGGAUAGAAAACAAGUAAACUGCAGGAUUCCCUUCAAGGUCUAGUUCUUCCCUGUCCCUACUUUGGGACACUGCUGAACAGGCUCCAUCUGAGUUCAAGAAUCUGGGUGUAUCUGUGCAGGCCAACAAGCCAAUACAGCAGGCAUUUGAAAGACACACAUACACGCAGGCCAUGCUUUUAGUCAUGCAAACACACAGUGUCUAUAUAUCUAUGUGCACAGAUUUCUGGGCAUGAAUAUAUGUGUUCCAAGCCCCAGUGUACCUACAAGUUUUGAUAUAAACCUACACACAGACGUGCAGCAUAUGUACACAGAUAAUACUUAAGUGUCCACAUGUCUAGAACCUGGAACAAAGCUGCAUAUAAAAGCAGAUGGAACACAGCAGCAGGGCUAUGUCUCACGUUGUCGUUUCCUGAAGCUGAUGUACAUGAGACACUUCAUUCUAGUUCUGUGGUUUCUGCAAGGAACUGGUGGGCCAACCAUUCCUAAGGAAUAUGGUGUUGACAAGCUGAAGACAGGCUGCACCAUCACGCGGCUACAGCUGUUGUUCUGAAUUUCAAAUCUGGUGGCUUCAUUGUUGUUUUCCCAAAAGUUUCAUGAAUUAUGUCACCAAAAAACUCACUGAUUUAUGGAGUAAAGUUGAAGCAAUAUCUAGUUGGUGUGUUUUCAAAGAGAAUAAAUGGAUUUCUGCUUGCACUUCUAUUCCCAGAGCUGAGUAUUUGAGUGUUUGUUCUAGGAUCUGGUAUCACACAGCCUUAUCUCUAUCCCCACUGGGGUGAGGCCCCCCAAGGAAGUUUAGGCUGGAACUUGAGACCACUUAUCACCAAAUUAAUAAAAUAGAUUCAUUUGGAAUCAGCUGACUCAAAGCAGGAAGACUUGGACCCAAUUCAAACAUCUAGACCAAAACCUACACUCUGUUUGGUUAAGAUCGGAUAGAAAUUCUUCCUCUUCACAUCUCACAUCCAUGGACAUGUCAUGGCAGAAGGCUCCAUCGUCCUCAGAGCCCAGCCAGGGAAGGUGAGCAGGAGGCAGCACAUGGCUGCCCACCUCUGUAGAAUUCCAAGGAACAGAAGCUUUUUAAAAAUUCAGAUUCCAAGGCCUCAGCCUGGGCCUCCUGACUCCUGGCCAGGGUUUGGAGAUGUAGAAGGAGGUAGAAGGAGGAGAUAGAAGGAGAUGGAGAAGAAGGCAUGAGUCAGUUUCCUCCCACACUCCAGGCCUUUCCCAGGGGUUGGGGAAGCCCUUGGGAAGCUCUCCUCUUUUGCUGCAGAGAUAGAGAAAGAGCGUGGCUCUGAAGUUGUGGCAGUGUCCCUCAGAGACUGGUCACUCACUACUACAGACCACAGGCAGGCCAGUGCUCCCUCUGGGCCUCAGUGUACUCUUCUGUAAAAUGGGAAGAUCAUACUGGGUGACCUCAUCCCUAACACCUCGUCUCUAGCUCUCAACUUCUACCACUCCGCGAAGUCGUGUGGGCUGGAAGUCAGAGCGGCUUCCUCAAAGAGGCGGAAGAGGACCCAUCACAUGAAGGGGCUGGUUUGGCGAGGCAGAGGUGGGAAGGAACGGGGGUAAAAACCCUCCCACCUGGGUGAGCGUGUCCAUCGGAGCAGUGGUUCUCAAAUGAGAAGCCCUUCCCCAUGAGCGAAUCACAAAGUUAUUUUAGGUAGGUCAUACGAAAUAGAAAGAGAUACGAAACGUAGAACAGACAAUAACUCAGUGCCUGGCAAACAGUGAGCACUAUGCAAACACGAGUUAUUAUUUCUAUCGUGAGUCAUGGUCCAAAAGUUUGAAAUACACUAACUUUCUGUGGCUCACUGUCUCUAUUUCGUCACCAGCAUGUGACCUCCAUGAGUGAGGGAUUUUUGACAGUUCUGUUCACUCUUAAAGCCCCGUGUCUAAAACAGUGCCCGGCACAAAGUAAAGGCUCAGUAAGUAUUUACUGGAUGAAUAAAUCGGUAUCAUUCCAUGCAAUUGUUGUCACAUACAUAUAUUCCCUCUUGGGCUAGACCGCCUGGGUCUGAGUCUGGCAGAUGAAUUCUGUGCUCCCCAGCCCGGCAAACCUCCCUGGGACACGGGGACGUCACAGCUCCUCUUCUCGGUGCUGUUGAAAAGAGUGUAUGCGGAGCUCCAGGGAUGGCGGCAGGCAGCCUCCGCCCCGCACAAGGGUGCUGGGAGACAUCUGUCCCUCCCCACCUGCCCCUGUUCCCAGCUGCCCCCCACAUCUCAACCCCACAGUUCCCUUUCCUGGCAGGAUCACUGCUCGGCAUCCCUCUCCUGGCAGCGACAAAAAUGGCCCUCUUCACCCCGACAGCCUCUUCUCCUCGUCUGUGGCCUGCUUGAGCCAGGAUGGGACUCAUUUCCUUCUCAGGUGAAGACGUUGUUAGUGGAGAAAAUGAAUCUUGGGCUAAUGAGCUGAUCAGAACCUUGAGCUGCAAGAGGGCUCCGGCUCUCUUCAACUCCUGGCCCAGUGGUCCUCAGAGCGUGGUUCCCGGACCAGCAGCGUCCUUGUCAACCUAGGAACUUGCUAGAAAAGCACAUUCAUGAACCCGCCUCAGACCUACUGAACGGAAAACUCGGCGGUGGGGCCCAGCCUCCAGGUGACCCCAGAGCUUGCUCAAGUUUGAGAACCACCAGCCUAACUAUUGUUGAGGAGGGAGGAAGCGGUGGUGGCCCCACUUGGAAGUCUGGGCCCUGGCAGCAUCAGGACUGACUCGUGGGGGAGGCGCUGGGAAGGGAAAGGCGGUGGCUGCCGUUUUCAGAUGCCUGCCUCCCUUCCCAACCUCGUCAUCCUCACAAGGGGAGGUGGCUGCCAAGUCACCUAAAUGCUGAGGGCGGCAGGUAGUGGGAGCCGCAUUUCCCAAAACACUGCGGGGGCGGGAAAGGCCCCACCUAGGAGAUCAGAGCUCUUCCCAAACACCAACGGCAACCCCAGCUCAUCGGAGCCACCAGGAAUAAUUCUUGCCAUUAGCCCCAGAGUCUGCCGCUCCCUCAGGGUCCCUCUCCCGGCAUCUGGGGGCUGGAUUUUCACACACACAGUGUGUAUGGUCCCGGAACACAGACGGGUGCUGUCCUCAGAUCGGGGGCUAGCAGGGUCUGGAGGAGCCCUCCUCAACAGAUGAGUCCCUGUGACAUGACUUUCCAGAGCCAGACCUCCCGGCCUGAUCAGUGCUCGCCCCUACUUGCGGUGUGUGAGCUGACACGAUUUACCCUGAUGGGCAGCUGUUUAUUUUUACAAUUUAUGGUGAACCAUGUUAGAAGUUUUCCAUUUCUUCUAGUCUUAGAAAGUUUCUUUUAAAAAUAAAUGUAAGGCCGGGCGCGGUGGUUCACAGUUGUAAUCCCAGCACUUU
rnacentral:lncRNA from 10 species